rnacentral:rRNA from 1 species
GACGAACGCUGGCGGCGUGCUUAACACAUGCAAGUCGAACGGAAAGGCCCUGCUUUUGUGGGGUGCUCGAGUGGCGAACGGGUGAGUAACACGUGAGUAACCUGCCCUUGACUUUGGGAUAACUUCAGGAAACUGGGGCUAAUACCGGAUAGGAGCUCCUGCUGCAUGGUGGGGGUUGGAAAGUUUCGGCGGUUGGGGAUGGACUCGCGGCUUAUCAGCUUGUUGGUGGGGUAGUGGCUUACCAAGGCUUUGACGGGUAGCCGGCCUGAGAGGGUGACCGGGCACAUUGGGACUGAGGGACGGCCCAGACUCCUACGGGAGGCAGCAGUGGGGAAUAUUGCACAAUGGGCGGAAGCCUGAUGCAGCAGCGCCGCGUGCGGGAUGACGGCCUUCGGGUUGUAAACCGCUUUCGCCUGUGACGAAGCGUGAGUGACGGUAAUGGGUAAAGAAGCACCGGCUAACUACGUG